rnacentral:rRNA from 1 species
CUACGGGUUGCUCCAGUGGGGAAUAUUGGACAAUGGACCAAAAGUCUGAUCCAGCAAUUCUGUGUGCACGAUGACGGUUUUCGGAUUGUAAAGUGCUUUCAACAGGGAAGAAGUUCUGACGGUACCUGUAGAAGAAGCGACGGCUAAAUACGUGCCAGCAGCCGCGGUAAUACGUAUGUCGCAAGCGUUAUCCGGAUUUAUUGGGCAUAAAGGGCAUCUAGGCGGCUUAGUAAGUCUGAUGUGAAAAUGCGGGGCUCAACUCCGUAUUGCGUUGGAAACUACUAAGCUAGAGUAUUGGAGAGGUAGGCGGAACUACAUGUGUAGAGGUGAAAUUCGUAGAUAUAUGUAGGAAUGCCGAUGACGAAGGUAGCUUACUGGACAAUUACUGACGCUGAAGUGCGAAAGCUAGGGGAGCAAACAGGAUUAGAUACCCCGGUAGUC